GCUGUGCUGGGCACCCAGCCUGGGGGCACUGGGAGCUGCUGAACCCUCCCUGGAGGCACUGGGAGCUGCUGGAACCCUCCCUGCACUGGGACCUACUGGAACCCUCCCUGGAGGCACUGGGAUGGGGCAUGUGGGUGUCUAAUGCAGGGGUGCCCAAAGCUUUCCUGCCUUGGGGCUGGGCUUGGUGCCCCUCUGGGCGCUGCCUGCUGCUGUUCCAGCUGCCAGGGGCCCAGAAUCCUUGUGCCAGUGAUGGAUGGAAAAGGAUCUGGUGAAGCUUGUGAACAGUGGAAGCUCAGGGAUGAAGGGAAUGAUGCUGCUGGAAGCCCAGCCUCCUUCAGGAUGAGCUGUAACCUGGACCACAGCAGGGGGACAGUGAUCUUCAGCAGCACUGACCCUGUGCUGGCCUGGAAGUUUGGAUGCACAAUCCCAGGGAAAUGGGGCUGGAAGGAGUCUGUGGCUGUUCCUCGCCAGUCCUGCUGCCCUGCUCUGCUCCCACAUUCGGAGCUCAAACACAAGGAGUGUCUCCUGGUGAAUGCAGCCAGGAAAAGGGGAGAGGAUUCCUCACUGCCUGCCUGAGGCCUCGGUUCCAGCGUGGUGCUUCAUGUGAGGCAGAGCUUUGUAUGGCCUCGAUUCUGUCCUCUUCAGAAAAUGACAGUCUAGGCAUCAUCAUUUUCUGUGGUGCUGAAAAAAAUUCAAUUCCGAGCCCCAGAUAUUUGCAUCCUCUAAGGCAGUGUCCUACAAAUCUAGUUACAGGUUCUUCCCUAUUAGCAGUACGUGCUGGAACACUUCUGAAUGUGAACAAUGGUGAUGGAGAAGGAUAAAACCGAAAUAGUGCUCCUGUGGCUUUGUGCAGGGUAGAAUUAGGGAGCAUAAUCCAAAUAAUAACAUCUCAUGCUUUUAUGGGGCUGUGUGCAUAUGGCGUAGAUGACAGCUCAUUAAACUUUAUAUCCUGCCUACAAGAUAAGCAUGUAAUUAGUAUUACAUCCUUUUUUUAUAAUUAGGAGGCCUCAUCCAAAAAAAUGUGGCUCACAAGCCAUAUUUGAAGGCGGUGACUCAGCCUGAAUUAGGCUGUGCUGAGAGGAUGGAGAGAAUCGUGCUUGGAGGGCUGAAAAAACAGAGACAAAAGGUUGAGCUGGUGUCAGGCUCCUGCUGGAAACCGCAGGUGGAUGAACUUUUGAACACCGGGUGUGGGCCGGACCGAGCUCGGUGCGGAGCAUCCUGCGGGAUGGGCUGGGCUGCGGGAGUGCCCGGGGCUCGCCGGCCUUCCGUGCUGCCCGUGGCACGGCUGAGCGGGGACUGGGGUC